GAAGGGCUCCACAGCAGCUCUGCUAGGGGCGCCAGCUCGCUGGCUGCCAAUAGGGGCGCACGGCUGCAUCUCAGAUUCGGGCUGUAAUUCACAAGCUCGGCUCAUAAUUGACACCAGGCAGUGCACAUGUCUGAUGCAGAAUGAGACCUGGCUUAGGGGAGGCUUUCCAACUGGUUUUGUUCAAGUUCAAGCCCCUGCUGAGAAUUUGCAUUAGGUGAAAGUUUACAGAGCAACUUAGUUUGCCAUUCAAUACUUCCUAAGGAAAGUGUUCCAUAACGUGGGUUUCAUUCCCUGCAAUGUGUCAGCACUCUCCCGGUUUCCACCCUAGUCUCCCCAUUUCCUUUUGUCCUGAUUUUCUCUACCUUCCUGCCUUCUCAUCUUUGCCUUUGGGCAAAUGUCUCCCUUUUGAUUGGGUGUUGUUUAUUUUAUGGGCCUGUCUAUGAUUUGGCUUAAAGGUUGUCUCCAGGAAUGGCCUCAGUUCCAGUUCAGAAGGGUGUCUUAGCGCCGUAGUCUCGGGGAUUCCUCCAGUCUCUGUCACACCAGGUGGAAAAACAAAUAACUGACUUUACGUGGAAAGGAAAGAAACCCUGGAUAAGUAAAGCAUUAUUGAAAAAGAAGAACAAAAUAGAAGGCCUCACUCUACCUGACCUCAGAACCUGCUGUACAGCCACGGUAGUCAGGAAGCCUGGUACUAGUACAACGACAGACACAUAGACCGAUGGAAAAGGGUUGAGAACCCCGACAUAAAUCUAUCCACCUAUGGACACCUGAUCUUCGACAAAGGGCCAAAGUCCAUUAAAUGGGGGAAAAGACAGUGAUUUUAACAAAUGGUGCUGGCAAAACUGGAUGUCCAUUUGUAACAAAAAAUGGAACAGGACCCCACAACUCAGACCAGACACAAAAACUAACUCAAAAUGGAUCGAGGACCUGAAUAUAGAACCUAAAACUGUAAAGAUCAUGGAAGAAAAAAGUCAAUGCUAGAGGACCUAAUAUAUGGCACAAAUAGAAUACCAAACAUAAUUAAAAAUGCACAAAUAAAAAAAAACAAAUAGCAGAAGAUAAAUUAGAAAAGUGGGACCUCCUCAAGUUAAACACUUACGCUUAUCAAAAACAAACAAACAAAAAAACCCAUUGCCACCGAGUUGAUUCCGACUCGUAGCAACCCUAUAGGACAGAGUAGAAGUGCCGCAUAGGUUUCCUAAGCAGCAGCUGGUGGAUUUGAACUGCUGAAAGAUUUCUCCAAAAGAGUAAAAAGAGAACCUACAGACCAGGGAAAAAAAUUUAGCUACAACAUAUCUGACAAGGGUCUAAUC